UACGUAGGGUGCGAGCGUUAAUCGGAAUUACUGGGCGUAAAGCGUGCGCAGGCGGUUGUGCAAGACAGAUGUGAAAUCCCCGGGCUUAACCUGGGAAUUGCAUUUGUGACUGCACGGCUAGAGUGUGUCAGAGGGAGGUAGAAUUCCACGUGUAGCAGUGAAAUGCGUAGAUAUGUGGAGGAAUACCGAUGGCGAAGGCAGCCUCCUGGGAGUAACACUGACGCUCGAU
rnacentral:rRNA from 1 species